rnacentral:rRNA from 1 species
UAUGGAGGUUUUCCGGGCACCGGACUAAGUGCAAGGCUGCUGCAUGGCUGUCGCCAGCUCGUGAUCGUGAGAUGUUGGGUUAAGUCCCGCAACGAGCGCAACCCUUAUUGAUAGUUGCCAUCAGGUAAUGCUGGGAACUCUAUCAAGACUGCCGUUGAUAAAACGGAGGAAGGUGGGGAUGAUGUCAAGUCAUCAUGGCCUUUAUGUUCAGGGCUACACACGUGCUACAAUGGUUGGUACAAAACGUCGCAAUCUCGUAAGAGUGAGCUAAUCGCAUAAAACCAAUCUCAGUUCGGAUUGAAGUCUACAACUCGACUUCAUGAAGUUG